rnacentral:rRNA from 1 species
GACGAACGCUGGCGGCGUGCUUAACACAUGCAAGUCGAACGGAAAGGCCCUGCUUUUGUGGGGUGCUCGAGUGGCGAACGGGUGAGUAACACGUGAGUAACCUGCCCUUGACUUUGGGAUAACUUCAGGAAACUGGGGCUAAUACCGGAUAGGAGCUCCUGCUGCAUGGUGGGGGUUGGAAAGUUUCGGCGGGUGGGGAUGGACUCGCGGCUUAUCAGCUUGUUGGUGGGGUAGUGGCUUACCAAGGCUUUGACGGGUAGCCGGCCUGAGAGGGUGACCGGCCACAUUGGGACUGAGAUACGGCCCAGACUCCUACGGGAGGCAGCAGUGGGGAAUAGUGCACAAGGGGCGGAAGCCUGAUGCAGCAACGCCGCGUGCGGUAUGACGGCCUUCGGGUUGUAAACCGCUUUCGCCUGUGACGAAGCGUGAGUGACGGUAAUGGGUAAAGAAGCACCGGCUAACUACGUG